GGGCGCGCAGCGGCGAGGAGGCAGGGGAGCUCGCCUCCUGCUGCAGCCCAGGCCCGAUGCCGCUAGACCCGGGCUCGUUCUCCUGGCGGCUGCCGCCCCGGAUCCCGGGCUGCCUGUCCUGGGCCGAACGGGGGAUGCACCACGCUGGGAUACUGCUGGCAGCCUCAGCUUAGUCCCAUUGGGUUGUGAUGGAGUUUCCACGCGGGGUGAUGCCAAUACCAAAUUUAUGGGGGAAGAAGACUUCCAUACCCGUCAGAUGAAUUAUUCAGCAAGAGUCACAGUGAGACCAAGCACACAGGCCCCUGCUUCAGAGCCUGCAACCCAAACUUGUUUCCAUCCCUUUGUCUAAUGACCUUUCAACAUUGAAGUCAGGUCAAUAAAGGGGGUCUUCCUACACAAGGUCUCUAGCACUAUCCCCUGGAUCUCUUCCAUAAAGCUCGAAGAUCAUGUCCUGUCUGUGCUUUGACUUUCUCCACAAUCAGGCAGCAUUUCCUUGUAUUACUCUAGUGUCAUCACUGAUGUGAGAAGUCUGUGGUAGCACCAGCUGGGAGCCACUGCAUCUGUUAUGAGCUUGCUGGGUUUAUUGGUAUGAAUUUUUCUAUCUGAAGAUUAGCCCAGUACAAGAUAGCCAGAAGAGGUGGGACAGAAUGUGACCUGGCCAGAGGGCUGAGUCAUGAGAAGAAGCAGACCAACAGAAGGGCCAGGAACAGUUGUUAACAGGUGGUGCCAGAGGAGGAGAACCUGCUUUGCCAUGCUCAGCCAGGAGAGGAUCUGUUUUCACAACUUAGACAGACACCAGGAUUCCGUUAAUUACACACUCAGGAGAGAAUAUCUUGUUGUCGCCUAUGGAUGUAGGCAGCUGUGAACUGAUAAACAAAACCCAUGGCAGGAAUCUUAGCAGGAAUAUUGCUACCUAAAAAAUAUGACUGUGCUUCAUUAAUGAACUGAGCCCUUUUCUAGAUAAAAAGCUACAGCUUUUGAUGAUGACUAGUGGAGCUAUUCUCUAUAGGUCAGUGCAAUGCCUGGCAUACAUGCCUGAACUUGCCCGACAGCCUUUCUGGACAUAAAGGUCAUUCAUCCGCAAGGCAGAAGCAACCAGUAGCAGUGCUUCAGACGCACACACUGUCAUGAGUGCCCCACUGACAGCAGUGCAACUGUUCUCUUGAAAUGAAAGAGCGUCUCAGAUGGGCUCCUGUGGUCAUGCUGCAAAUGCCAGCGCACAGAGGAAUAAACACCAGAAUCACUUUCAUCCCAAGAGGAAAUCCUUUGAAGAAGGGCUUUUGGGGGAGCCCCUCAAGAAUAGUAUCCUGAGGGAAAGAAGGUGACAACAGUCCAGCACAGGUAUCAAGAACUCAGAUUCAGCCUCCCAGAACAACCCAAAGCACACACAGGCACACUGGUGCCUGGGUAGUGUUUGAUUGAAGGAGGAUUUCAAAUAUGAGUACAAGAAUUUUCUUCUGACUCUAUGUGAGUGUCACAGUACAUAGUGGAGUAGCAGCAACACCAUCUGUCCAUGUGGUGAUAUUCCUAGGGCCUGAAUAACACUGCCAAUAAACAUCCUUGGGAAAAGGGACCAGAGCACACUAUGGAUCUUCGCAUGCCAAUAUGGGGGAGGUGAAUCUCAAUAAGGCUCUAAUGCAGAGAUGCUUUUAGAAAAGUGAGAUAAGUACCAUUUGUUUUAUGACACUGUAAACUCUGAGGGGAAUCCUACCAAUGGGAGGGCCUGGGACAUGAUCUUGCACAUUACUACUACUCAAGAUACUACAAGAGGGAUGUUGUGUCAGUUAUUUCAUCUGAAGAAAAGAAAUGAACUGUAUGGCCUGUGUUUAAGAAAAACCUGUACAGAAAUGGCAGAAAAUAAUAUUAUUCAGUAAUUACCCAUUAUUCAAGAACAUAUGUUUGUAAAUAUGACCUCUGUAAUGUUACCAGGGUCAGACAGACCAAGGACAAUCUGCUGUGUAAGUGUAUAAAUCAAAGCUGUCUAGGGACUGAUUUAAUUUACAAUGUUCUUCAACAUUCUGGACAGAAAAAUGUCACUCGCUUACUUAAAUCCUGUGUUCCUCCCCUUUUUCCACUUUCUCCCUCCCUCCCCCCAUUUUUUGAUAACACUUCUUGACCUCCCUACUUCUUGAAAGCCAUGGAUUUCCACCAAGAGACAAUGUGUUAGACCAACUUGUCUGAAUUAUGCUAACACCCGAACAUGUAAGAUUACAAUAGAGCCCUGACUGUAUUCACUUGCUGGUUACCUGUCUUUCUUAGCACAAUUCAGGAGUAAAGCAAUAAAUACUGGAAUUUAUGUCGUUCUUUUAUAUUAAGUACCUAAAUCUGCAAAACAAACUGAGAAAAGCAUCUGUUGAAACUAUUAGAUUCUGGGCACUGAUUCUGCUAAAUCACAUGUUUCCCGUUGUGGAAGGAAAAGAGC